rnacentral:rRNA from 1 species
GUAAGGAAUAUUGGUCAAUGGGGGCAACCCUGAACCAGCCAUGCCGCGUGAAGGAUGAAGGCGUUAUGCGUUGUAAACUUCUUUUGUAUGGGAAGAAUGACAGGGAUUUAUCCUUGGAGAGACGGUACCAUACGAAUAAGCACCGGCGAACUCCGUGCCAGCAGCCGCGGUAAUACGGAGGGUGCAAGCGUUAUCCGGAAUCACUGGGUUUAAAGGGUACGUAGGCGGUUAAUUAAGUCAGUAGUGAAAGACUGUCGCUCAACCACGGAUGUGCUAUUGAUACUGGUUAACUUGAAUCCGGUUAGAGUUGGCGGAAUUGGGCAUGUAGCGGUGAAAUGCUUAGAUAUGAGUUAGAACACCGAUAGCGAAGGCAGCUGACUGAGCCUUGAUUGACGCUGAGGUACGAAAGUGUGGGUAGCGAACAGGAUUAGAUACCCGGGUAGUCC